UCGAAACUCAGCGUAUCAUUUAAUCAAAUGUCUGGAUAUUUUAUGGGCUUCAUCUUCAUUUGGGCUUUGUUAUUGAAAUUUAACGUUGGCCCGGUUACGUUCUUAGGGUUCUUAUCGUUCUUCGAUCUCUGCCAUUCGGAGAGACAUAUCUGCUUCUGUGGCGUCACGGAUUCCGUUCCUUGGUGUUUGGAUCACGUCCUUUAGCCUUCUUUCGAUCACUCGAAACGAAACUACUUCCAGAUCCAUCCCAUUAAACAUGUUUUUAAUUCCUUUGGCCACGAUCUACACUUUAAUGUGCGUUAAUCUUCGGUGUUUCUACUGGUAUAAAAAGAUAUGCUUUCUUCCUCUCAAAACCAUCCUCUCUACAGAUGGUUCUCUCUCUUUCUCAUCUCCCUUUGCAAUUUCUCUGAGAUUAUAAGUUCCCGUUGUUAUUGUUUAGAAUUACUACUGUUUAUGUAUCUGACCGGAGUUAGAUACGGCGGUGUUGGGCCAUUCCAGGAAGCGACAGACCUUGAAUCGCUUCAUCUCAAUGGCUGCAGUUUCGGCAACCGUAAAAACAACAAAGAAAGCUUAUCUUCAAAUGGCUAGCUCCUCUGAUCUGAAGUAGGUUCCUGUUCUUCCACCGUUGAGGUUAAGUUGCCGCGUUUAGCUCUAACUGGAAGUUCGCCGUAUGUCUCUCUUCGGGAAGAUGCAUCACCUUCUUUGGUAACAGAGCUUACGUAUUCCUCUAAGGGAUCCCAAUCUCAAUCACCACCACGCCGUUGCUCAGGAAGGAAUUGGAUUCCCUUGCUGGGUUCUUCCAGAUCUUAUGUCUUUUCCUGAGUGAUUCAGACAAGAUGCUUACGACAAGCUUGAUGUGAUUGGUAUUGACGAAACAGAGAACUGGAGAUCUUUAUGAGUUUUGUUGCAAAGACGCUGAUGAUGAUGGCAACACUGUUAUUGUUGCAGUCGUUGAUGGUGAUUAUUUAAGGUGUUACUUGACAUUUUUACUUCAAAUCUUUAACAUUUUCCGUUGAGCUUUAACUUUAAUGAUCCUUUCUUGGUAAAAUUUAGGAGGAGUUGGUGAUGUUCUUGAUAUUGUACAAAUAGAUGAUUCUGACACAAAGCUAACUGCAAGGUGUGAGGUUUGUGGACACAAAGGUUUCUUCACUGUGAGGAAGACUUUUGACACCAGAACCGAGCUGAUUGGUGGGGUUGAUGUCUAUAUGCCCGUUUGUCUUAAGCACUAUAUCAAUAAUCAAAUUGUCAUCAAAGCUUCAAAGUAAGUUUUGGAUUCUGACAAGGUAAGAGCUGACAACUGUAUGGAGACAGUUGCUACUAUGAUCUAACUAUGACUUGCUGUGGAACGAACUAAGCAUAUAUUAUAGUGAGAUUCUGUUCUUUGAAAGUGCCCUGUUGGUUUGUUAUUUUUUA